AUAUAUAUAGUAUAAAAACAAUAUUACAUUUAACUUCCAAUUAAAAAAUUUUAAUAAAUAUAUAUA
rnacentral:tRNA from 1 species